ensembl:lncRNA
AACAGAACAGGCCAAAACAUAACAAGCCAAAACAUAACAAGUCAAAACAUAACCAACCAAAACAUAACCAACCAAAACAUAACCAACCAAAACAUUGCACAAGAAUAUACUUGUAACAAUUCCAAUUCUAUUGGAACGUGUUUUCCUAUGAAUUAUGAGUAUACUGGUGUUAAAAGUAGUAACAAUAGUAACGAUAAUAAUGCUUGUCAAUAUCUGUUUGUACAAGAAACUAAGCAGUCUGAAAAAAAUGGUAGUACAUCACAUGAUAUGCAAUAUGGUUUAGAAUCUAAAAAAAAAAAAGAAAACAUAUGAUGAUAAUAAGAAUAACGAAAAUAUAAAUGAGACAACAUUCAUGCGUAACGAAAAAAAUGAACAAAAAAAAAGAGAUUACUAAGAGUGGAAAAAAUACAUAUAAUAUGGGAAAUAACGACACAGGCAAACACGAUAUAAACAAUAGUAGUCAUAACAAAAAAAAAAUAAAUAAUGAUGAUGAAAAUAUGAGUAAUAGUAUAAAACUAAACAAAACAGAUGAAGAACUAUCUGUGUUAAUGCGAUGUAACUUAUUAUGUUCUGUACAUGCACUUAUUAAAAUGUUUUCUUAUAUUUAUAUAAAUAAUUGGAAUAGAAUAUUAUAUUAUUAUAAUGAAGAAAGUAAAAAAAUGAUACCUAUUUUUUUAACUAUUACUCUUAAUGAUAACAAUCAAAAAAUUCGAACUUACUCCAUUUUUUGUUUGAAAAGUUUAUUUGAUGGUAAACAGCUAAAGUUUUGGUUUUUGACUAAAGAUGAUGGUUUUAAUCGUGAUACUGAUGCUAAUACUGUUGGUGUUUAUUCUCAAGGUAACGAAAAUUGUAUUAAUGGAACUGAAAAUAAUGAACAGAAUGGUAAUAAAACAAAAGUUAGUGAUAGUAAUAUUUCACAUGUACAAAAUAUCUUUCAAUAUAAGAAAAGUAUGUCAUGCGAUACGGACCUACCAUACAUAAAAAGUUUUUCCCGUGAUACAGAUAUAACAUACAUGAAAAAGACGUUAAAUGAUCAAGAUACUCCACCAUAUGUAAAAAGUAUGUCAAGUGGUACGGAUGCACCAUGUAUGCAAAGUAUUUCGUAUGACACGGACUUAUCAUAUAUAAAAAGUGUAUCCUUUAAUACGGAAUCACAGUAUAUGAAAAGUGCUGCAAACGAUACGGACAUACCUUACAUAAAAAGUAUGUCAUAUGAUACGAAUCUACCCUUUAUGAAAAGUAUGUCGUGCAAUACAGAUAUAUCCUUCAUGAAAAGUAUGUCAUGCAAUACGGACUUUCCAUACAUAAAAAGUAUGUCAUGCAAUACAGAAUUAACAUACACGAAAAAUAAUAUGACAUGCAAUACGGACUUACCAUUUAUGAAAAGUAUGUCAUGUAAUACUGAUCUAGUACGUAUGAAAAGUAUUUCACAUGAUACGGACCUAAUAUACACAAAAAGUGUGUCAUACGAACAGGAUAUAGCACCAUAUGUAAAAAGCAUGUCCUAUACUACCGACAUACCACAUGAACGAGACAUGACACCAUACGUGAAAAGUAUGUCAUAUGUCACUGACACAUCACAUGAACAAGAUACACAACCAUAUGUAAAAAGUACGACUAUAUCUAAUAACAUAUCACAUGAACAAAAUAUACACCCAUAUGUUAAAAGUAUGUCAUGUGACACAAGUAUGUCACAAAAUAAAAGUAUAUUAGAAAAAUUUAAUCUACGCAAUAAUAUAAAUUUUUUAAAAAAUUAUAACAAAAAUGAAAAUAAUAAAAAUAAUGAUGAUACUAUAAACUAUGAAUUUGAAAAUAAAAAUUAUGACUCUUCAAAUAUAUAUUCAGUAAAUAAUAACAAUUACAAUAUAAAAAAUAAUAAGCUAUUAAGUAAGAUAAAUCGAAACAUACAUGAAGAACAAAGAAACACAGAAACUAAUUUAUUUAUAAAUGAUUAUGCAUAUAAAAAAGAAGAUGCUAUGUUUAACGUUUAUGAUGAAUAUGAUAACAGUAACAUAAAUUUAAAUAAAUUAGAAAGAAUAAACAGUAAUAACAGUAACACUAAUUAUAUUGAAGAUUAUAUGUCUAACGAAAUGAAUAAAGUAGAGCUAGAGAAAAAUGCUUUUGACAAAAAAAAAGAAUACAAUAAAAUAAAUGCUUAUAAUGUAAAACUUAAUACAUCCUUCUGUAACAAAUACAACAAAAAUACAAACAAUUCAACACAAAAAAUCAUAAAAACGGAUGCUACCAUGUUGGAUAAACAAUUUUAUGAAAACAUAAAUAAAAACUCGAUCAUUGAAGAUAAUCCUGUUGAUGUUAAUAUGGCUGAACGUAGUAAUAACACAAGUGCAGUAGAAUAUAAAAAUACGUAUGACAACAUAUAUAACAACAACGAUAUAUAUAAUAAUGUACAUACUAAUGUAAAUAAUAAUGUACAUACUAAUGUAAAUAAUAACGUACAUACUAAUGCAUAUAAUAAUAAUGAAUAUAAAAAAUGUAUAACAGAAAAUAAUAUUAUUAAUAUCUUAUCAGAAUUGAUUAAAAUUAUUGGCAAAACGUAUAUGUAUAAUGGCAAUAACGAAGAUAGCAAUAAUGGCACUGAUAUAUAUGGCAAUAACAAUGACUCUUUUAGCGGCUACAACAGUAAUGAUCGUGGUAAUACGCAUCACAUUCAUACAGCGACAGACAGAUUAAACAUUUACCGCUUUGUUUUAAGAGUUGCACAAUCUAUUGUUAUACCUAAAUAUAAAAAUAUACUUAUACAACUAUUUAAGGGUUGUUUUUUUUAUUUAUUAAAAUAUUUAAUUUAUUUUAAUAAUGGUGAUAAAUUUCAAUUUUGUAUAAAUAAACUAUUAAACAAAAAUUUUAAAACUAAAAAAACAUCACCUGAUAACACUAUUAUUAAUAAAAUUUGUUCAUCUGUUGACAUAUUAGACAAUUUAAAUGAUAACUGUAGUAACACAAGUAAUAGUAACACAAGUAAUAGCAACACAAGUAAUAGCAACACAAGUAAUAGCAAUACGAGUAAUAGCAAUACGAGUAAUAGCAAUACGAAUAAUAUCAAUACGAAUAAUAUCAAUACGAAUAAUAUCAAUACGAGUAAUAAUAACACGGAUAGUGACAACAAUAAUAAUAGUAAAAAUACACAAGAUAUUAGUAACGAUAGUAAAACAGAACAUGAUUACAAUAAA